ACCCGCUGAAUUUAAGCAUAUUAAUAAGCAGAGGAAAAGAAACUAACAAGGAUUCCCUCAGUAACGGCGAGCGAAGCGGGGAAUAGCUCAAAUUUGAAAUCUCCGGUCACCGGCGAAUUGUAGUCUGUAGGGCCAGUUUCGUGUCCCCAAAGUCGUCCUGGAAAGGCGGGCCGGCGAGGGUGAGAGCCCCGAAGAGUCGGGUUGUUUGGGAUUGCAGCCCAAAAUGGGUGGUAAACUCCAUCUAAAGCUAAAUACUGGCACGAGACCGAUAGCGAACAAGUACCGUGAGGGAAAGAUGAAAAGCACUUUGAAAAGAGAGUCAAACAGUACGUGAAACCGUUAGACGGGAAACGCAU
rnacentral:rRNA from 1 species